rnacentral:lncRNA from 1 species
GUUUUGAAUUCUUUUGCUUAACAAAUUGGAUAAUCUUUAGGCCCCAGAAAAUCUGGAUAAGUCACUGACUGUCCUCCAGAUUACAGCCAGGUUGGGCUCCUUAUAGCCGAAGUCUGCCCAGGUGAUGACUCCCUAAUUUGAACACUUUGAUGACUUUCAUCCCUUCCAUUGCGCAUGCGCCCUCCUCACCUGCCCACCUGCCUCUCCAUCCUAGGCACCAGAGACACUGCACGUCUCCGGCUCCUGGAACAUGCUCCUCCUCCUUUGACCAUGUGGUUCCCUCUAAUCACAGCGACUACCUCAGUAUUUGUUUGUUUGAUAAACUUCUGUUGAUCCUUCACAAUGCAGCAAGGCAGAAAACCAUGCAGGUGCAUCUGGCCAGACAACAUGAUGCAGCCUGGAAUUGCCAUCUCUCCUCCUGGGAGGUUUAUCCCUCCCAUCUGCUACAUUUCACCCAAAUGAGGAUGCAGAUCAGAAACAUGUUGCAGUAUGAGCUCUCUGCAGAAUUGGUGUGUGCUCCAUCUUUGAAUGUAUCACUCUCAUCACAGUGCCUGGUAUACAGCAGUUUCUCACUAAACACUUACUAACUCAUUUAAUAAAUGACUGAGUGAGCCAGCCCUGAUGGUUUAG